rnacentral:rRNA from 1 species
AGCAGCCGCGGUAAUUCCAGCUCCAAUAGCGUAUAUUAAAGUUGUUGCAGUUAAAAAGCUCGUAGUUGAAUUUCGGGAUCAGUAGGUCGGUCGUGCCACUGGUAUGAACUGGUUUUACUGAUUCCUCCCUCUUGAAGAACUGUAAUGCCAUUAAUUUGGUGUUGCAGGGAAUCAGGACUGUUACUUUGAAAAAAUUAGAGUGUUUAAAGCAGGCUUUAGCUUGAAUACAUUAGCAUGGAAUAAUGAAAUAGGACGUUUGAUCCUAUUUUGUUGGUUUCUAGGAUUGACGUAAUGAUUAAUAGGGAUAGUUGGUGGCAUUAGUAUUCAAUUGUCAGAGGUGAAAUUCUUGGAUUUAUUGAAGACUAACUACUGCGAAAGCAUUUGCCAAGGAUGUUUUCAUUAAUCAAGAACGAAAGUUAGGGGAUCGAAGACGAUCAGAUACCGUCGUAGUCUUAACCAUAAACUAUGCC